CCUACGGGAGGCAGCAGUGGGGAAUAUUGCACAAUGGGGGGAACCCUGAUGCAGCAACGCCGCGUGGGUGAAGAAGUACUUCGGUAUGUAAAGCCCUGUCAGCAGGGAAGAAAAUGACGGUACCUGACCAAGAAGCCCCGGCUAAAUACGUGCCAGCAGCCGCGGUAAUACGUAGGGGGCAAGCGUUAUCCGGAUUUACUGGGUGUAAAGGGAGCGUAGACGGCAAGGCAAGUCUGGAGUGAAAGCCCGGGGCUCAACCACGGGACUGCUUUGGAAACUGUGUUGCUGGAGUGCAGGAGGGGUAAGCGGAAUUCCUAGUGUAGCGGUGAAAUGCGUAGAUAUUAGGAGGAACACCAGUGGCGAAGGCGGCUUACUGGACUGUAACUGACGUUGAGGCUCGAAGGCGUGGGGAGCAAACAGGAUUAGAUACCCGUGUAGUC
rnacentral:rRNA from 1 species